GGGAAAAGAGAGCAAGACUGAGUACUACCCACUGUACUCAGCAAGUCAUACCGGAAGAGGAGGUUAUCUUCAUAUGUUUCAAUUGGCUCCACUCUUGGUGUAUGAUGCUUUCACAAGAACAACAGGAUACUAUGCGCAAUGGUGCUACACGCUUGGAAUUAGCAGUCAAGUAACUUUUAUUCCAGUUUGGAUGGCGUAGUACCUAUAGAAUUUCGUGAUAAAAUCUACGUGAUUUUGAAAAAAAUAUUAUUUUAGUAGAUCAUAUCAUCGGCAGAAGUUGGGGGUUUGUCCCAUCUCGCUUUUUUUAACUUUUCUGUGCACGUCUGAAUUUUUUGGCUGUGUGCCUACGGGCAGAGGCCGGAGAUGUAACCCAUUUCCAUUAUCUAAAAAAUUGUUACUUUCAUUAAUCAUUUACUAGGCAGUGCCGAUUGUUUGGAUGA